AUUGAACGCUGGCGGCAGGCCUAACACAUGCAAGUCGAGCGGAUGAAGGGAGCUUGCUCCUGGAUUCAGCGGCGGACGGGUGAGUAAUGCCUAGGAAUCUGCCUGGUAGUGGGGGAUAACGUCCGGAAACGGGCGCUAAUACCGCAUACGUCCUGAGGGAGAAAGUGGGGGAUCUUCGGACCUCACGCUAUCAGAUGAGCCUAGGUCGGAUUAGCUAGUUGGUGGGGUAAAGGCCUACCAAGGCGACGAUCCGUAACUGGUCUGAGAGGAUGAUCAGUCACACUGGAACUGAGACACGGUCCAGACUCCUACGGGAGGCAGCAGUGGGGAAUAUUGGACAAAGGGCGAAAGCCUGAUCCAGCCAUGCCGCGUGGGUGAAGAAGGUCUUCGGAUUGUAAAGCACUUUAAGUUGGGAGGAAGGGCAGUAAGUUAAUACCUUGCUGUUUUGACGUUACCAACAGAAUAAGCACCGGCUAACUUCGUG
rnacentral:rRNA from 1 species